AACACGGGCUUCGGCGGCGCCGCGCCGAGCGCGCGGGCACUGUCAUGGCGCCACCUUGCGGGAACGCGGCCCCCAAUAGCCCCCCUCGGACACGGCGAGCGGGAAGCAGGAGGGUUAACAGCCUCAACCUCAGGGUUGCCGCUGUCCCUGCAGCAGGAAAGGGUCUCUCACGAGAGGGAAAUGCGUCUUGAGUUGUCCCACAGUACCAGGACUUAACGCAUGAAUUCCGAAUACGUACCACUUGAGAAGACGUAACGAGGUCCAUGUCAAGCAUGUUCCAGACAGAGACUGCUGGGAAACUUGCAGAUGAAUGAGUGUGACUUCAGGUAUCUUAUGAGAGAAGAUGCAGUCAGGCUUCCCAGGGGUGCAUGGUGGAAGAGUGAGAGACAACAGGCAUAAAAAUGAGAUGCUCAGAGAAGACAUAAGAAAAAAAGAUUCACCAUGAGGACAGUUGAAACAUGGAACAAGUUCUUAAGAGAGCCUGCCUGGCCAAAGCCCCAAGCAACCUGUUAGCCAGUGUUGACCCUGCAACACCCAGAAUGUUAAACUGGAUGACCUUCUGAGGCCUCUUCCAACCUGAAUUAUUCUGUGAUUCUAUGACAUUAAGGGAAUUAAAAUCUCCUAGAUGUCACCACAGCUAAAUCUUACAUAAUACUUUAAUGAGUACCUCAGAACAGAUGGAAAACUAAGGAGCAAGGACUAAUCACAGAGGGCUAAGUUCCCAGAAGUGAUUCUAGUGACUUUCAUUAUGACUAACAGGCUAAGCAUUUUAUUUGCUCUUAUAUACACACAACUUUUAUUGGAAUAUUUUCUAUUUUUAACCUAAGAAAAUGAGACUUCAGUGACUCUGCUGUCUAUCACUUGUUUCCAGCAAUAGAUUUUCUAGCUUCUUCAGCCAAUUUCAAAAAAAUCUGACAGGAAAGUAUCAGUCUCAAAGGUAACUGUGCUCUUACAGGGUUUUGGAAAAAUUGGGUGCUGGGGAGAAGAAUGAACUCUCCCUCUCAGAAAACAAACAAACAAACAAACAAACAAGCAGAGAGUCACUGUAGUCCAUUUUGUUUGCCAUCUUUAUUUGAGCCAGUCAGCUAAUACACUCAUUAAUCCAAAAUACAGGUAUGCUUUUCAUAAUGUGGGAAGCAUAUGUGAGUUUUUGUUAAUGUUGUCAAACCUUGGCACCCACUUCUUAUUAAUUUUGCUGCUGCCAUACAAUACUUGAAGACAAAAGAUGAUCUGCUCAGAACUAUAUAUUAGACUAUAUGAUAACAACUUAUGAUGACAACUUAUUUUGUCAUCAUAUUGUUCUAAUGCAUAAAGAACCUCAUGGUCUUACUGAAGUUAUUACUAACACCCAGUUUUCCACAGUGAUAUCUUGCAUAAUUAUACAGGAGGACAUAAAAAUAACUGUCAGACUAAUUUUAUUUUAGUGUAACUUUUGAAAAAAUGUUUUCAAACUCAAGCUAUGAACGAAUCCAUCUUUGACUGGAAAAGCAACUGGACACUGCAGAUAAUUACAGAUCAGAUGAAAUAUCUUAAUUUUAAGUCUAAUCUAAAAGAAAUAAUAUAUUCUAUGAAGUAACAAAGAAUAUAUUAGAAAGAUCUACUUGCAGAGGUUCAACCAUAUAACUCCUUUAAAAUAAUAAACAGAAAACAGACAUUUCGCUUACUUUUAGAGAAAAUAUCUGCAAUGCUCUGCUUCACUUUAAAGAGGGAGUUUCUUUUCUAUGUUAAAUAAAACAGUAUUGUCUGUGGAUCCCCAAAUAAGUAAAUUAAAGGCUAAUUCAAGUAUAUGGAUUACAAAUUUUUCUGGAAUGGACUACUCCAGUAAUCUGCAGUGUAUAUAGUGCUAUGGAAGUCAAUGCAAACACAUUUUGUUCAGGUCAAUUCUUCUGGAUCAAACCAGACGCCGUGAGUGGAAUUUAUGCAAAAGACCUCAUACAAAGACUGGCCCUUCAAGAAAAGGAAAUUUGAAAUCUGAACAACCGUACUGAAUUUCUGACGGUCACCAGGAUGGAAGGUUGAAUUUCCUAGGUCUUCAAACUAUUAUUACCAAGGUCUAUGACUACCCCAGAAUCUCUGCUUUGUACUCAGACCAUAAUGUGCAUCUCCUUCGACUCUUUGAAAUAUAGAGGUGUGUACAAAACAUUCAACAAAAAAAGAAACUCAAAGUGCCUUAGAAGAAGAAAGCAGAAUUGAUACUUAUUAGAUGACAGCUACAGUAUAAACACAACUGAGAAACAGUAUACUGUGACAAAAACUGCCUAAAACAGAAAAUUGUAACUUCUGAGUUCUGCUACAGAUGUUAAAAGACGGCUCCCUCUACCGUCAAAAAAUGCUUUUUCGGGAAGAAAUUAAAGGUGGGUGUGCACUGCACCGUGGCAACAAAAGAGCAGCAAUUCUUUAAGAAGUAUCAAGGGAAUUCUGCAAAGGAGCUCACUUUAGAACAUCUGUUGUGUUGGACGGAACAAGUUCUUACAACAUCAUUCCUCAUUCAGUGCACAGUUGACCAAAUAUUCAACUAGCUAAAAAUUGCUUGCACAUCACAAUCUAAUGAGUCAAUAACAACAGUGAAAGUGUACCAUAAGUGCCUGCAUUUACAGAAAGUAAUAGAAGCCAUCACAAGUAAGACAUCAGUCCUGAGGAUAUACUGCACCUCUCUUCGGUUAUGCCUACACAGCUGGAUGUAGCUAAGAAUGAAUGAGCUUGUCAGUAGUCUGAGAAGGCUAGACAUAAAUCAGGGGUAUCUGUGAAAUUACAUAGCUGCACUAACAUAGUAUUGUCCCUAAAGCAAGUAUACCCUGCAUUUCAACUGUGUCUGUUAGCUUAUGUCACUAACUAGAAUGUCCUAUUAUUUUUGGUAUCUGACACAAAACCUCAGGAGAGUUUAUAUCCAGACAACUCAGAGUCUACUUGCUUCUGGCCAUAUUUGUCUUCACACAUACUUGCAUUUGCAUAGUUCUAAAGCUCACAUAUUCAUGACUAAGCUGUAACAUUUCUAAGACUUUUCAAUGAAGUUCUUUAUUUUAGUCUGUACAGCAGAAAAAGCCACAACGAUUAUUUUAGUAUGAAUGUAAUGCAUUUUUGUCACUGAGCCUUUUUACAGUAAAGUAUGCUAAGUUAUGCUAAUUGUCAGGCUUAGAGAUGGGUGACUAAAAAACAUUCAGAAUGUUUUUUCAGCUGAAACAAUUCAUGGACAGAAUAAACACAAGCUAUUUCAGAUGAGAUAAUCAGACCUACUUAAUAAAGGAAUUCUGAAUUAUUUCUUUUCCCCUUCAUUCUACUUCACAAAUACCUUCAAUUCCCAUUUCAAGAGUUGCCUGUAUUAGGCUCUAAAACCAUCUGUA